rnacentral:rRNA from 1 species
AGAACGAACGCUGGCGGCAGGCUUAACACAUGCAAGUCGAGCGGGCCCUUCGGGGUCAGCGGCGGACGGGUUAGUAACGCGUGGGUACGUGCCUUUCACUUGGGAAUAGCUCCGGGAAACUGGGGUAAUACCCGAUACGCCCUGAGGGGGAAAGAUUUAUCGGUGAGAGAUCGGCCCGCGUCUGAUUAGGUAGUUGGUGAGGUAAUGGCUCACCAAGCCUACGAUCGGUAGCUGGUUUGAGAGGAUGAUCAGCAACACUGGGACUGAGACACGGCCCAGACUCCGUACGGGAGGCAGCAGUGGGGAAUCUUAGACAAUGGG